rnacentral:rRNA from 1 species
GUGCCUAACACAUGCAAGUCGAACGAGAAAGCGGGGGCAACUCCGUGAGUAAAGUGGCGUACGGGUGAGUAACACGUAGCUAACCUACCCUCGAGUGAGGAAUAACCUGGGGAAACUCGGGCUAAUACCCCAUAACAUCCCGAGCGAUCGGGAGCAAGGGUCCGCAAGGGCCGCUUGAGGAGGGGGCUGCGGCCGAUUAGCUAGUUGGUGAGGUAACGGCCCACCAAGGCGAUGAUCGGUAGCCGGCCUGAGAGGGCGCACGGCCACACUGGCACUGAAACACGGGCCAG